rfam:Triticum aestivum genome assembly, contig: Triticum_aestivum_CS42_TGACv1_scaffold_438495_5DL
GUCCCUUCGGGGACUUCCGAUAAAAUUGGAACGAUACAGAGAACAUUAGCAUGGCCCCUGCGCCAGGAUGACCCGCACAAAUCGAGAAAUGGUCCAAUUUUUU